rnacentral:rRNA from 1 species
CCUACGGGGUGCAGCAGUGAGGAAUAUUGGUCAAUGGACGAGAGUCUGAACCAGCCAAGUAGCGUGAAGGAUGACUGCCCUAUGGGUUGUAAACUUCUUUUAUAUGGGAAUAAAAUGUUCCACGUGUGGGAUUUUGUAUGUACCAUAUGAAUAAGGAUCGGCUAACUCCGUGCCAGCAGCCGCGGUAAUACGGAGGAUCCGAGCGUUAUCCGGAUUUAUUGGGUUUAAAGGGAGCGUAGGUGGAUUGUUAAGUCAGUUGUGAAAGUUUGCGGCUCAACCGUAAAAUUGCAGUUGAAACUGGCAGUCUUGAGUACAGUAGAGGUGGGCGGAAUUCGUGGUGUAGCGGUGAAAUGCUUAGAUAUCACGAAGAACACCGAUUGCGAAGGCAGUUCACUGGACUGCAACUGACACUGAGGCUCGAAAGUGUGGGUAUCAAACAGGAUUAGAUACCCUUGUAGUC